GCACAGGCGCAGACACACCUGCCCGCCCCGGCUGCAUUUUGCUAAACAGAUUCUUCAAAGCAAUAGAUUGGUACAUUGCUGUAGCAUUCAGUGAUGUAUUUACUGCUGCAAAGCUCCAGAUGCUCUGUAAGCCACAAUAAUACAGUUAAGUGGAAAAUGAGUCAUUUAAAACCAUAAUGACUAUCAUAGCAUGACUCCGCUGACAACAAGCCCCGGCAGUAACGCUGCGAGGUGGAUGAGACACGAUCGUCAGGGCUGUGGGGCACGUCAAGCUCUGCCUUCAGGGCAGGGCCUGCAUCCCCCCUCAGCCCUGGUGCUGCCGGGGGAGCCCCCCUGGUGUUGGGGUGGGGAUGGCCAGGGUGCCGAGGUGCCCCUGUGAGCCUCCAUCUCCUCAGCACCGCGCUCCACAUCACUGCCGGCAUCAUGGAAACGCUGUUGUGGCUCCCAGGUGAGAAGAGCUGGGCACCCCGAUUUUGGCUGAGCUCAGUUCUUCUCAGCAUUCCCAGGUGUCCUGGGAGCAGGUGGCGAGGGGCUGCCACCCUUCCCAAAGGCUCCAGGUCAGACACCCCAGGCUGUGCCCAUGGGGACAGAUGCAUUUCCAGGUGCUUGCCAUGGCCAGUCUGGGGACAGGCAAUAUGAGGAGGGACAUGAAGGCUCCUCCAGCCCCGCUGUGGUCCUCAGCCAGGCCAGACAGCAGUGGGGCUAUGUGGGGCUACGCCUUGCUGCUCCUCAGGCAGCCCUUUGGGAGAGUCAGGAGUGCGAGCGCAGCAUCAGGGAAAUCACAGGAUCCCAGAAUAGGCCGAGCCAGGAAGGGACCCACAUUGAGUCCAAUCCUUAGCCCUGCACAGGCCAAUCCCCAAGAGUCACACCCUGUGCCCCAGAGGAUCAUCCAAACACUCCUUGAGCUCUGGCAGCCUUGGUGCUGUGCCCACUGCCCUGUUCCAUGUUGGCUCUCCGCUGACGUGACAAAGGCAAAUAGGGUAGAAAAGGUAAAAGCAGGGCCAAGCUUUCUGCUGGUAUUAAGCAGACAGCUCCGGUGAUGGUAAAUAAACCAUUUUAAUUUAUCUUCUUAGGAAAUUUGGCAUCAGUUUUUUCCCCCAUCUCCAAAGGAAGCAAUUCUCUUGCUUAGGCCUUGGCUAAUUGUUUCAAAAGCCAGAAAAUGGAAAAAUCAGAUGGAUGUGCUCACUAAAGGCAGAGACUUUAAGGAGCUCAUAGAAUGGAAUCAUAGUAUAUCCUGAGGGAAGGGACCCACAAGGAUCACUGAGUCCAACACACACUAACUCAUACUGUACAUACUAUUUGCUAUAGAGAAGCAUCUUUUAUUCCCUUUACACAAGUAAUGUGCUUUGUUGCUGGACUGUAGCACUGUGCAAUUUAAGCCUAACUCUCCAAAAUACAAUUGCCUUUAUCGAGCUGAAUGCUCUGGGUAUGGACCACUUCCAGUGCCUUGUAUUAAAUGUGAUAAAGCAAGGUCACUCCUUAAUCAACCUGAUCAGUGCCUGCCACAGCCCCACUGGGGUUUCUCUCAUUUAUGCAGGGGACCAGGAGAGCUCCUCACAGAUCAGACUCUCAUAAAAAUAAUUUACUGCUACAUUCACCUUGCCCAAAACAGCAGAGCCAUCCCGUCAGCCUGCACACAUUUCAGGCUCUCUUGAACUACCCUCUUGUGGUACGGCUGCAGAACGACAUCUUCUUCUAACAGCUUAAAAUACAUCCAGUUCUGCUUCACUUUCUAGGAUUAACUGAGACAAAGCUUUCCUUUUGGAGGGCAAUAACACCCUUUUUUUUAAUCAAACGAGCUCCAAAUGCAUCAUGUUUCCACCAAAUACACCGAGCCCCCAAAAAUAGGGACCACUGAAAAUCCCAGGAAGUUUAUAGUUGCAUUUUCAGUUGUCUGUAAAAGAAAAGAAAACAAAUUUCCAAGGUUUUAAUGCAGUUUCUGCUGCAUAAAGCACCCACCCUGCCCCCUCAACAGUGAUUCAACAGAAACUAGUUAAGGGCUUUGAAGAUGCAAAGCAAAAGAUACAUUUCAUAAUCAUACUGUAUAUUUUGUAUACAUGUAUAUAUGUAUAUAGGUAAAGGCUCUAUGUAAUAAGCUGAUUGAGUUCAUGCUUAAUUAUUUUCUUGUAUUGAAACAAAGAUAAUUGUACCAAGGGGUGGAUGGUUCAGUUCCUGGGGCUAUAUGCAAGCUUUUUCAGUAGAGAAACUUAUAAAUUCAAUCAAGGAAAAUGCUGCACUCGAAGUGAGUUUCAAUGUUGAGCAAUAAUGAUGAUUAAACAAGCCACAUUAAGUGCUAAAAUACAGCAUAUCUGCCCUCAGUAAUCAGAAUGACCACAGGCCUUAUCAGCUUGGGUCAAUACUUGAGGUACUUGAAUUAUCAAUAAAUAAGUAAACCCAUUCUUUCCUGGAUAAGUUUAACAAAUAUAGGGUGCCAGAAGUUGUUAACAUGGGCGAGGGUUGAAAGUGCUUUCUAAAACCAGAAGAGCAGCGCAGAAAUUCCUCAUCUCCUACCACCACUGACUCUGCAAUUUACCUGAUCCAGGCUUUUUUUUUUUGUUCUCAAGUGGCUUGGACAGUAACCUCUGGGUGACUCCUGGGCUGACUCAGGCACCUGGUAUUCCACUGGUGACUCUGAGUUUUGUGUUCCCAGCAGCACUUUUCCCAUGUAUAAAACAGGGAUUACCAGCCCAGUAGAGGAAACACCAAAUGGCAGCACAAAGGAUGUGGGAGAUUGUAGGGUGGCACCAUGAUUUCAUAUCCUGCUCCUUGCUGGAUUGAGCUUCAUCCCUGAUAUUGUGCCUGACAGCACGUGAGCAUUUUGACAGCUAUCAAUACCUGUGUCUCCAUAUGCAGACAGUGCAGGAAUGAGAAGGGGGAUAUUCUUUAUCACCAGGAAAUACCUUUUGCUAACAUGAUUUCAGUUGCAAGACACCUGUGGAAAAGGGAAGGUGUGUGUCCCCAACACAUUGCCAGCUGGGAACUUCCACCUUGCCCAUGGCCACAAGCAGUCCCAGCCCCUCCAACUGGAGACAGGACACUGGGAGAACAGUGUGCCCUCACCUGCAGCUCUGGUUCUCCUCAGCUGGCAAAAAUCUGGAGGCUUUCAUAGAGGUUACCAUGGCUAAUUCACUGAGACCUUCAGUUUUAAUACUACUGAGGGAGUUUUUUGUAUUACAGCAGCACUGGGCAAUGCUCACUUGCCCCAGUCAGGGUAGCAAGCACAGAGCAAUCACAGAGUGAGAGACAGACAGUCCCCAAAAGAGCUUCACUUAAGGAAUGGCCAGGACUGGUACCUUACAGUGGGAACAAGGAAGCUCUGACAGACUGUAAACCAGCAAGGGAGGAGGAAGUCCCACCACUCCUUUGCGUGCACUUUUCUCAACCAGCAAAGUUAGAGGUUUAUCUUCAUCCAGAGUUAAGGCAGAGUCACCUUCAAAAGGCAAUUCAGCCCGUUUCAGUUGGGAUCCUGCUCCAAAUCACCCUCUGAAGGCAUAUUCCUCUGAGCAUCACCAGCAGUAGAAGACUUGACACACGGAUCUUAAAUUGGAUUGAAAUCAAAGGGAGUGAAAGCCUCGAUGCUUCCUGGGACUCUGGGAGUGAGGGCUCAUUGGCUUAAUUGGGAAUUAAGGACCAGCAGCAAGAGUUUGCUCAGCACCUGGGAGGACAAAGAUCAUAGUCUGGACAAUGAAGAGCACGUUUCUUCCCCCUGAAGACACCGACAGAGCUGUCAGGGCUCCUCUGACAGCGCUGAGAUGAGCCUGGAAGACGAUGCUUUCAUCAGAACCUCUCUCAUGGGGACUCUCACACUUGCUCCAGUAGUUCCAUCCUUCUGUGGCCACCUAGAACUGGUUUCAGUCAGAAACCCAGAAGGCUUUUAAUGAUGUGCAUCCAGAAGACUGAGAUUAUGGUCUAAUUAAAAUCUAAUCCAAGUAGGGUAUUACUAUAUUUUAAAGAAGCCAAGGAUGUGGUCUCCUUUUUGUUCCUUUUUCUCUGAUCACUCUAAUAAUUUUAAUAAGAUGGCUUAGAAAAGCUUGCCAUUUCCUUUCCAUUUUUAACAGCUAUUCCUUCUGAACAAAACCCCACUGUUGGGAAAAAGGAUUUCUUCCCCAUGGCAACGCUGGGGUACUCCACACAAAGAAGCACCUAGCAGUUUAGUUCACAUUUUUUAAUAACAUGGCACAAUUUACAUUACACAAGUCUUCGCUGAUGAGGAAACAUGCUGAAGAUUGAGAGCCGCUUCACUUUGCUUUUCACAUAGGAUCUAGAAAGGACUUUAUUACAUACAGGAUAAACAGCAAAAAGGUUUGUAUAUAACAAUCUCUUUACAAUACUGAAAGCUACCACUACGGUUCCAGUGUACAUAUUCCUCAGGGUCGGGAUUUUUUUUGGAUUUUUCCUUUUGUUCUUUAAAAAAAAAA